rnacentral:rRNA from 1 species
UGAACGGCCACAUUGGGACUGAGACACGGCCCAGACUCCUACGGGAGGCAGCAGUGGGGGAUAUUGCGCAAUGGGGGAAACCCUGACGCAGCAACGCCGCGUGAAGGAUGAAGGUCUUCGGAUUGUAAACUUCUUUUAUUAAGGACGAAGAAAGUGACGGUACUUAAUGAAUAAGCUCCGGCUAACUACGUGCCAGCAGCCGCGGUAAUACGUAGGGAGCAAGCGCUGUCCGGAUUUACUGGGUGUAAAGGGUGCGUAGGCGGCUUUGCAAGUCAGAUGUGAAAUCUAUGGGCUCAACCCAUAGCCUGCAUUUGAAACUGCAGAGCUUGAGUGAAGUAGAGGCAGGCGGAAUUCCCCGUGUAGCGGUGAAAUGCGUAGAGAUGGGGAGGAACACCAGUGGCGAAGGCGGCCUGCUGGGCUUUAACUGACGCUGAGGCACGAAAGCGUGGGUAGCAAACAGGAUUAGAUACCCUGGUAGUCCACGCUGUAAACGAUGAUUACUAGGUGUGGGGGGUCUGACCCCUUCCGUGCCGGAGUUAACACAAUAAGUAAUCCACCUGGGGAGUACGGCCGCAAGGUUGCAACUCAAAGGAAUUGACGG